GGCUCAGGACGAACGCUGGCGGCGUGCUUAAUGAAUGCGAGUCGAGCGAGAACCAGUUGCGUGCUUGCACAAGACUGGGGACAGCGGCGAACGGGUGAGUAACACGUGGGUAACCUGCCCUGCAGACGGGCAUAACAGCUGGAAACGGCUGCUAAUUCCCGAUGGUCUGCAGCACCUCAAGGUGCUGCAGUAAAGGUUUAUUCCGCUGCAGGAUGGGCCCGCGGGCCAUUAGCUUGUUGGUGGGGUAAAGGCCUACCAAGGCGACGAUGGCUAGCCGGUCUGAGAGGACGAUCGGCCACACUGGGACUGAGACAUGGUCCAGACUCCUCCGGGAGUUAGCAUCAGGGAAUCUUGCGCAAUGGGCGAAAGCCUGACGCAGCGACGCCGCGUGAGGGACGAAGGUCUGCGGAUCGUAAACCUCUGUAAGCAGGGACGAAUGCCCGGUUCUGCCGGGAGUGACGGUACCUGCAGAGUAAGCUCCGGCUAACUACGUGCCAGCAGCCGCGGUAAUACGUAGGGAGUCAGCGUUGUCCGGAUUUACUGGGCGUAAAGAGCGCGUAGGCGGUUUGGUAAGCGGAGGGUGAAAUCCCAGGGCUCAACUCUGGGGCUGCUCUCCGAACUGUCAGACUAGAGUACGGGAGAGGACAGUGGAAUUCCUGGUGUAGCGGUGGAAUGCGUAAAUAUCAGGAGGAACACCCGUGGCGAAGGCUGCUGUCUGGAACGUUACUGACGCUGAGGCGCGAAAGCUAGGGGAGCGAACGGGAUUAGAUACCCCGGUAGUCCUAGCCGUAAACGAUGGACACUAGGUGUUGGAGGCAUCGACCCCUUCAGUGCUGUUCUGCUAACGCGUUAAGUGUCCCGCCUGGGGAGUACGGC
rnacentral:rRNA from 1 species